rnacentral:lncRNA from 1 species
CACCUCUCCCUUGUGACAUAUUGUUCUCUUCAAGAUUGAAUAAAAAAUGAUCAAUAUGAACUAUUUCUUAUUUGUGUCAAUCAAUAGCUUUAAGACUUUUUGAACUCCUUUAAUUUCCUAUAAACUCUUUUACUCUUUUUCCUUUCUUUCUUUCUUAAUAAUGUUUGUUGAAAUAAAGUAUUUGUUAUUUUAAUGAUUAAAAUUGGCUUUCAUAAGAAUUAAAGAAGACACUCUAUUGAAAGGCAAUCUUGGUUCAAAUAGUUUUUGAAACUCAAUACAAAUAAUAUCUAACAUAUUUCAAAAGUCUAAAAAGUUUAGAAAUACAAGCUUAAAUAAACAAACUGAAGUAAUUCAAGCAAAAGCAUAGAACUGUCAAAAUAUAAACUGCAAAAACAAAGCCCUUUGUCCAAAACAGAGUACAUCAGCUAAGUCACUGGAAAAUCAGUAAAGAGGCGACCGAAGUUCAAACUUCGUGCGACCGAAGUGUAAACUUUGCGCGACUGAAGUUUAAAAAUGGCGCAAUCGAAGGUCAGGCAGCCGAAGUCUAGACAAGAGUCAAAGCCAAAUCCAAAACAGAGCAGUUUAGCUGCCUUUUGGAAAAACAGAUGAAAU